UCUCAAGUGCUGGGAUUGCAAACAUGUACCACCAUGCCUGACUCACAGUCGAAGAAGGUCCUUCCAAGACCCAGAGGCAAACAUGGAAUCUGGGAGCAGCAGGAGCAGGAUCGGUUGACAGGCAUCAGCAGGCUGGAUAUUCAAGACUCUGAAGCCACUCAGAUGCAUGUGAAGAUGAGGGAGCCAAGCAAGGGGCUGGAGCAGGACAGAAGCAAGAGUCCCUGUGGGUUUCGAAGCAAUUUUAGUUGUUACAGAAAGACUGGACUGGAGCAGAGCUGAACCUCCAGAGUCCUCCCAUAACAGAAGUGAGACAAGGCAGCAGCUGGGAUGAAGGCUUCGGGGAUGCAGAGAAGUCCACAUUGGGGGAAUUGAAAGAAAAGAGAUGCCCUGCUUGAUCUCAGAGAAAGAAGAUGUUCUCUGUCAGGUGCUUUGAUAGCUUCAUUCUCUGUUAUAACCUCUCCUUAUCCUUAAGCGUGGAGCAUAUGUGCAUCGAGCUGUGGCUCUCAUGUGAAGGUUAGAGGACAACUUGCAGGAAUUGGUUCUCUGCUGCCAUCGUAUGUAUCCCAGAGAUCAAACUCAGUCGAACCCAGAGUUGUGCACCAGCUAAGCACGCGCCCUGCCCUUCAGCCACAUAUCCAGUCCUUCACUUUGCCACUUUCUCCAGCAGCAUCUUCUUUCAUCCCGUGAGAUGAUCAAGAUUCCAAUCUCCCCUCCAGCUCUGUGGAGGCAAGGCUACCCAGCAGACUCAGUGUGACUCAGUGGAGUUCUCCUCCACUGAUCCUCUCUAGGUCCCUCGGCACAAAUUACAUGCUCCUUCCAUCCUGCUUUAAUCAUCGUAGCCUUGCGUUCCCAUCAAGCUCUCUGCCCUAUCUCAAACCAGUGCUUAAAGGACUCCCUUCCCUCAGAAGAAACAGUGUAAUUUUCCUAAACACGGCUCAUUCCUGCCUUUACAAAUAUCAGAUACACAACCAGCACUUAACAAGUUGUAUCAGAAGACAGAACCACACAACAAAGACUGUGAACAAUCCUACCCUACCCCUCUUCCUGCCCCCCUUUUUUUUGUAGCAUUGUGGGAUUGCUCUCCCAGAAUAUUCCUAAUGCUUUAUUUACUUUGUCUUCAGAUUUAUUUUGGGCUGUACUUUCCUGAAACUGAGUCUUAGGAUGUGAUUCUCAUCCUGCUGGUAUCCUGCCACAUUGCCAUGUGACUUCAGCUCUUCAAGGGAAGACUCGGGGUCCAGAGGAUUUCGACCUCUCUUUAUAGCCCAGACAGAGAUGACCACCUUACAGCUCAGCUGGAAAUGUGUCCCAGAGGAAAGCCUGUGCGACCUAGUCACCAAAACUAUGCACAACAGCAGAAGCAAAGCUUGUCACUUUUAUCAAUUAUGUGUGCCAAGGACUGACGUGGCUCAGAGUUUCCAAAGUCUGAGUGAUUUGUGACCAUUAGCAACUCAGACACUGGAAGAUUCAAGCGGCCAGUCAGUGCUGGGAAUUUUCUCAUUUCAGGAAAUUUUGGCGGUGAGGCAUGCUAGAACCUCAGCAACUGGAGUGUUGGGAGGAGGAAAGUCAGACAGGCAGGAAGGGAGUGUGGGAAGAGACAGGAAGAUGACAUGCCGCAUGAGCUUUCAGGAUGGACAGCUCUAUGUGGAGUCCCUCCUCCCCAGGCUCAGUUUCCUUGCUGACAAAUAGAGAUGAUGAGAACUGUUACCCGAUAGUGCCUUGCCUGGUACAAGUCAUGGGCUCUGCAUGCCAAAUCUCAUCCCCUUCCCAACCCAUGUCUGGGGGUGGGGGUAUAAACUGAGGCUUAAUCAGUCCAGGUUUGGUCUGGUUUGGUGGAUCUGAGAUUGUUAGUGAACCAUCAAAACUGGGACUUGGAAUUCAGGGACUACAAGUAUGGCAAAGGAUUGUUCAAGGUCACCAGCUCAUACAAAAUGUUUUGGAUUCAGACUGGGUCAUAGUAUAACAUAGAAUUGCCAUUCUCACAGUAUAGCCUGUGGUUCCUGGAGGGACCCAGAAAACUCCCAUAAAUCCAUUACUGAUCAGCAAUUUAUACAACUCCUAAGGCAGCACUAUUUGCACUUUUUUUUUUUGGGGGGGGUGAUAUUUG